AUGGGAAAAAUUGUCUCUUCCUUAUUUCUAUGUCUCUUCCUUAUUUCUAUGCAGUUAUUAUAUGAUUUAUGACUUAUGUUCUGCAAUUAAUAUCUUAUGUUUUGUCUUACUGUAUGCAUUUGACAUUUGACCUACAUUGUUCAAUGGUUGUCUCUGCCUGAUAGACUCUCAACUCUAGCUCCCAAACCCAAGGUCAGGGAGUUGUGUCUCUGUCUGUUGAGACUUGGUGCUCCUUUCUCACAGAUAGUUGGACGUCAGCGAUGCAGGUGUGAGAAUGUAAACAUCUUCACACACACUGCGACAGGGAGGAGAUGGUGCAUGUAAUUUGAUUGGGUUAGAAAGACAUUCCACCCUAGUCGGACAGAGAAGCUAAAAGGCAGAAGCAACUUUAGGAUCGUGGGCUCUUUGCAUCACACCUUCGUGGUGUGUGCAAUGAUCUCCCCAGCUGGUUUUUGGUUUGUUGAUGUGCACGAUCAACAUCCAUGCUUUUUAUUUGCUUUCCCCAUUAUUUUUAUUUUCUUUAUUAUUUCAAUAAAUCGCACAAAAGGACAACUCUCUCUCAUCUACUUCUUUAUGGAAAAUUUCCACCACAGAAAUUGGCGUUGUCGGCAGGAUCCCGCGGCAGGUCGUCUGGACGGUGUGACCAGGGACGAUAGUCCUGAGGACUAGGGUCGCUCAGCCUCCAAACCUCUACAGACAUUCAGAGCUGGGAGGACUGCUCACCCGUCUGGAUCGCCUCUGACGAGAUCCACGAACUCAGAUUCAAACUCAAAUCCUAAUUUGGCUCGGCUCGGUGAGAGAGAUUCCUUUUAAUUUGGGAAAAAACAAAAAGAAAAUAUAAUUAGGACUAGAGAUGAUAAUAUUUCUAAAACAACUAUUUGGCUGAAAACAUCCAAAAUAUAAUAUUAGAAAAAAUUAUAAUUUUAAAAUUUAAUAUUCGGGUAAAAAAUUAAUUAGGUCAAAGUCUGCCCUGGUGGUCGAGACGGUGGUUGCUAAGGGUUGGCUCGUGGGACCGAGCUUGUUUUGUCUGUACUGAGGAUACAGACCAGUGUGCAGAUCUGAGCGCAGUCCAAAGGGUGUGGACAAGGAAAUAAAAGACGGCUUCUGUAAGACGGAGCGCGUUUGCAGGGGGAAGUGGUUUCGAGAUACGAGGGACCCGGGUCUUAGAGGGGCCUGACGGUGAGGGACCACUUCCGAGAACCCUGUCGCUGAUCUGAGCGGUUCCCUUUCUACGGAGACGUCCGUGGAAGAGAAAUUUCGAAAAAAGGUUCCGGCCGGAACACAUAAAAAUCUAAGGCAGAAAACCGCCGGGACUCUGAAAGAUGGGUUCGGGGCGAUCUAAGUCUCCACCACCAGACUGCAGCAUUACAAAAGUAAAAAACUGAGCGCGAUGAGGGUAAAUCCGGAUCUGGACUCCUUUCCCACCAUCAGCAGAAGAACCGAAGGAGAAGAAGCGCCAACCAACAACCAGAACAGGGUGGAAGCUCUGACACCACAGCAGCUGGAGGACACAGACCACAGCAUGGACGCCUCAGCGACUCUCACAACGUCUGCAGCCAUCACGUUCUGGGCUCAUCAGAUGAACCAGCUACUACAAGGCCUGCACCAGCAUGAAAGGACUGUGUCUGAAGCUUCUGAAGCCGUGAAAGUGUCAUACAUGCGUGUGUGUCUGACAGACACCUGCUUAUGACAAUCAGCAAAGGAAAACAAGGACAGAGCAACAGCAGAGAAGACGUGCUCUAACAGAGACACUGGUUGAAACAACAGGAGAGGCUUCAGACGUGAUCGGCCCAAUAGAGCUGCAUCUGAGGAUCCAGGAAAGGUCUGUCAUCGAGGAACAACUGUCCCAUUGAAAGGCUUCACCCACUGGUGCUCACAUCAGACUGAUGGUUGGGGAAGGAGGAAGGUGACGGUUCCUUUUCACGUGACGUACAAGACGGUACCGCAAAAACACACACACAUUCAUACACGCAAUUAAGAAACACGCUUACAGCUGAUACACGCUCAAAUUCAUGUUCAUGCUUAUCUGCUCGCAAUGAAGAAUCGCUUUUUGCUCAAAAAAAUCCCACAGAGUGAUUUGAAAAUGAUGACAAACAGCUAAAUGACAACUGCUGCAUGACUUUACAGUCUGAUGGGUUCAAACUAUUUUAACUUGCAACAAAUUCAGUAAUAAAAUCCUUCAUGUUUCUAAAAAUACUUGUGCACAAUAUAGGUUUGUCUGGCCAGACUAUAGAAAAACAAAAUCAGACUAUAGGAAAACAAAACAGACUGUAGAAAAAAAAAAAACAGACCAUAGGAAGACUGAAACCGACUGAAACAGACUAUUAAUGACUAUUAAAGGGAAGACGACUAUUAGAGAGAAGUAAUAAUAAUUACUGUACGUACCAGACUAUUAAAGAAAAACUUAUUCUUUCACUGUCUUGUGCAACAUCUGACAGCAAGACACCGUAACAUUCAUUUUUGCUUUCAACCUUAUGCCCAGUUACAUUUUUAGGAAGAGAUCUCAUCUGUAGUUUAGGUAUUUGAUUGAUUUCCACUCCAGACGGAGUGCAGGUUACAUCUACAGACAUUCUAAAUAAUCCUUCUUUUGUUGGUGUUAACUUCAGCUCAGCUGUGCUCUUAUCAUUGGCUGCUGAGGGGGGGCUGUAACUGAGGCCCUCACACAGGCUGCAUCACAGCUUGUUUAUGAUUUCACACACACACUCUGACAAACUGGCCUCAACUUCCCUCUUUUGGGAUGAACACAGGUCUGCGCUUGCGAUUUCUUUUACUAACGAACAAAAAGAUUUUUACUUUUAACCUACAGUUCCACACGUCCCUCUGUGAAAACAUGAUGGAGACAGAUGCAGGACGUGGGUCCUUUCGUGAACAGAUGUCAACGGGGUGGAGACUGGUGAACGACUUCUGACCCCAUGUGACGUAUUUACCUACUUUGCAUACUUUAGAAAACUUUUUUUUUAUUCUGUCUGUCAUGUGCAGCAAACAGUAAACUGGGUACCUCCACAUUCUAAUGACACACAUUACACGCUUUUGUUUUUAUUUUUAUUUUUCAGAGGACGCUCUGACCCAACACUCAGCCUUACGGGAAGCCCUGCUUCCCUGUGGCUCACACACAGACAUGAUGUAGGUUUGAUCAGAGGAUGUGAACCAGUGGUCAUCACACCUAAAUCUGACCACAGACCAUGUAAACAACAACACCCUCUUAAAGGAAGCCAUAGAUGGCGUUACUGCAGACACCACUAAGCUACUGAAACAUUGGAUGCUACAGGCCACAAAGAGAGCCUGUUUAAAUUACACUUUGUUCAGACAAAGGUUAUUUUCUGGGUCAUUGUAAUUACAGCUGAUGGCAAAUCCAUCUCACCCAACAGAGUUAAAGCAAUUUGAGACCUGCCUAAACCGUGCACGUAAAAACAGCUGAUAUCUUUUCUAGGUCUUUGUUCUUAUUGUAGGACCUUCAGUCCUAACUUUACUGUCUUUGAGGCCCCACUCAGGGUUCUGAUGCAGACGUCUUCAUCGUCCACUUCUUGUCUCACGUGGACGUCUGAGGCUGAACAACGUUCACCGACCUCAUGCUUGCUCUUCAGGCUCCUACUUUGGGUCUCCCUGAUCUGACCCUAUGCGACCUUUCACUCAAACAGUGGAUGAGAAAUCAGGUUGUACGACUUCUGUUCUUUUGUCCUCAUACUGUGUCUUUGAUUCUUUUGGAAUAGAUCACAUCUUUCUACAGCCUGAUGGCUUAGAUACAACACCACCUUGCUCAACAUGCUGAACAUUAUUAUCAAGAGGUCGUCUUGAAGUCUGGCUCUUUGCUAAGACACUACUCUGCUCAGGCUGCAGAGUUGAUUGUGUUGACUGAAGCUAGUAAACUAGCAGAAGGAGAGUCUGUUACCAUCUACACAGACUCCACAGGUUCUCUGUGGAAGCAUAGGAAGCUUUUGAAGUCUGAUUGCAAACCUAUCUCACAUCAUGAUUAGUUUCUGCUUUGCUGGACGCUGUCCUGCUGCCUACAGCUAAUGCUGUUUGUAACUGUCCAACAUCAGUGACGACUUUGUUUCUGCCGACAUGCAGCUGCAGACGCUGCUGCGAAGGUCGCUGCCCAACAACCCCUCCCUCUCCUGAUCCUCGUUUCCUCUCCUGAUCCUUGUUCCCUCUCCAACUCUCUCUAUCCUUUCCUUCCUCAUCUCCCUGUGCUUUAAACAUUUUGUACCUCACAGGAACUCAGACUCUGGCUGACGAAUGGUUCCACCUGUAGCCAUGGAGUCUGGUUUGGGCCUGAUGGCAGCCGUGCCGCCCAAACACCUUUUUCCCCACAAUUCAGAUUUCCCAACAGGUGAAAACAGGCGACAGGACCAUUACACCAUCCAACGAGGGGACUGGCGAUCGUUAAGGAGUUCAGGAGGAAGCACUGGGACUCCAAACGGUGGCGAGGCCCCUUCCAGGUCCUUCUGACGACCAACACGGCUGUGAAGAUCACAGAGAGUGACUUGGAUCCACUCCAUCUACUGCAGGAAGGUCCCGGAUCCGACAGACGACCCUCCAUCUACACCACACGAGAAAACCACCACUGACGAAAAGAACUAAGAAGGACGACCCUCGCUGUGCUCACACACGCACUGAGGCGAGGCUGCGUUGACCGUUCAGCUAAAGGUGUGAGCCAAGCGCCGCCUGAAGCUGCGCCGGUGAAUCACACUAUCAGACCAUACAUCUACACACACGCUCCUGAGAAAACACACACACGAGCAGCCUUGAGUUGCCGACGCUGGACGACGUGUAGACUCUUCACAUCACGGGAGUGACAGUGACUCAGAGGACAUUGGGAGGAAACCUGGCGGUGAUAACAAAUCCCAAGUGUCUCUGUGAUCAGCUGAUCACAACCUGAAGAACCCCAACGAACAAUCAAUACUUCAACACACAGGUUGGAAACAAUCUAACGCUACUGUUCAACAGGAAGAAGCAGAUUGUUACGAGACAUCAAUUGUAACCUUGUUGCGUUGGACAUUUUAUGUUACUCUGAUUAUUGCCUUGAUCAUAUGAUGUUUCCAUGUAAGUUCGCACACUACUUUUGAAUGAGAAAAUUUCACAUAAUUUACAACACUGAGUUUAAAUAUCCUAAAGUUGACUUGGUGUUUAAUUUGCUCACAAUCACUUAUUCACUGCUACAAUUAGUUUUUAUCCUUCAUCUACAGAUGACAGAGGUUAUGAGACAAAACGCAUCAUCAUUCUGGUUAAAUCCCUGAAUCUCCUAUUCGCUCUAGACGCAAAUGUACAAUUAAAGAUCCGAAAGCAUUAAAUCUAUCUUAAGAAUAUAUGAAACAGAACCCCACCGGAAACCUAUGGCUAUCAUACAUUAAUUGUCUUUAUUACAUUACUAUUGAAUGGCCGUAGACACGUUGUUAGCAGAGAAAAGAGGCGUUUGUGUUAUGUUUGGAGAGGCAUGUUGUACUUACAUCCUGAAUAACACUGAUUCUAAUGGUAUUGUGGCGAAGGCGCUACACGGCCUUCAGAAUCUCAGCUAACUCUGGUAUAGGUUCUUUCCCUUGGAAUUGGCUAGACGAAAUGUCUGGAAAAUGGAAAUCUGUGCAUGUCCGCAGCUGUUUCCUUUAUCACUGAGAUGGCUGUGAUUCUCUUGUUUGGUUUUUGCGUUAUCCCACUGGUUAGAGGUCUCAUCAUGCGUGCGACCCCAGCAACACUCUCAUAUCAAAUGACACAAUGCACUAUGUUCAAAAACCCCAACUCUAAUUCACUUAAUGACUUUGACGAUGGUCUUAGGCUAUCGGAUCAAAAAUAUAACAUGAUACAAAUAUGAUAAUGAGCUUAUUUUCUUCACAUGCCAAUACAGAAGUUAUUCUUGUUUAACUACCCACCAAAACAGCUCCCAACCUUUUGUCCCUUAGUUACUUCCAUUUUAUGUGAAGGUGUAUUUUGAAUCUUGAUGAGUUAAUACCCUUAUUGUUUCAUUUGCAAGGGUCUUUUAUUAUUACAGAAUGUGACGUUGACAAUUUUUAUUCUUUUAUGGGUUGAUUAAUGUGUAAUCAAAAGGGGGGAGUGUUAUGGGAAAAAUUGUCUCUUCCUUAUUUCUAUGUCUCUUCCUUAUUUCUAUGCAGUUAUUAUAUGAUUUAUGACUUAUGUUCUGCAAUUAAUAUCUUAUGUUUUGUCUUACUGUAUGCAUUUGACAUUUGACCUACAUUGUUCAAUGGUUGUCUCUGCCUGAUAGACUCUCAACUCUAGCUCCCAAACCCAAGGUCAGGGAGUUGUGUCUCUGUCUGUUGAGACUUGGUGCUCCUUUCUCACAGAUAGUUGGACGUCAGCGAUGCAGGUGUGAGAAUGUAAACAUCUUCACACACACUGCGACAGGGAGGAGAUGGUGCAUGUAAUUUGAUUGGGUUAGAAAGACAUUCCACCCUAGUCGGACAGAGAAGCUAAAAGGCAGAAGCAACUUUAGGAUCGUGGGCUCUUUGCAUCACACCUUCGUGGUGUGUGCACUGAUCUCCCCAGCUGGUUUUUGGUUUGUUGAUGUGCACGAUCAACAUCCAUGCUUUUUAUUUGCUUUCCCCAUUAUUUUUAUUUUCUUUAUUAUUUCAAUAAAUCGCACAAAAGGACAA